UACGUAGGGUGCGAGCGUUGUCCGGAAUCAUUGGGCGUAAAGAGCGUGUAGGCGGCCAGAAAAGUCCGCUGUGAAAACUCGAGGCUCAACUUCGAGCUGUCGGUGGAAACUUUCUGGCUAGAGUCCGGAAGAGGAGAGUGGAAUUCCCGGUGUAGCGGUGAAAUGCGCAGAUAUCGGGAAGAACACCCGUGGCGAAGGCGGCUCUCUGGGACGGUACUGACGCUGAGACGCGAAAGCGUGGGGAGCGAACAGG
rnacentral:rRNA from 1 species